GCUCUUCGAGGCAUAUGGUUAACUGAAAAUAUGUAGAGAAGAUUAGCAUGGCCCCUGUACUAAAGAUGACGUGCUUAAUUUAAGAGAAGCUACCUCUUGUU
rnacentral:snRNA from 1 species